CAAUAGCGUAUAUUAAAGUUGUUGCAGUUAAAAAGCUCGUAGUUGGAUUUCUGGUCGGAAGCUCCUGUCCUCUGAUGAGCGUACAAGUGCGUCCUACCAUCCUUCUGUUAACCUUUAAGGCUUUCGCGGCUUUCUAGGGGCUCAGAUAUUUUACCUUGAGAAAAUUAGAGUGUUUCAGGCAGGCUAGCGCCGGAAUACAUUAGCAUGGAAUAAUGGAAUAGGACUUUUGCCUCUUCUGUUGGUCAUGAGGCUCGAGUAAUGAUUAAUAGGGAUAGUUGGGGGCAUUAGUACUUAACUGUCAGAGGUGAAAUUCUCUGAUUUGUUAAAGACUAACUUAUGCGAAAGCAUUUGCCAAGGAUGUUUUCAUUAA
rnacentral:rRNA from 1 species